rnacentral:tRNA from 1 species
GGGCCCGUAGCCUAGUUUGGAUAAGGCGUCGAGUCACCUGAGCCGAAGACCCAGGGUUCAAAUCCCUGCGGGCCCGCCA